CGAACGGGUGAGUAACACGUGAGCAACCUGCCCCAAGCUUUGGGAUAACCCUCGGAAACGGGGGCUAAUACCGAAUAGGACUUCUGGCCGCAUGGCUGGUGGUGGAAAGUUUUUCGGCUUGGGAUGGGCUCGCGGCCUAUCAGCUUGUUGGUGGGGUGAUGGCCUACCAAGGCGACGACGGGUAGCCGGCCUGAGAGGGCGACCGGCCACACUGGGACUGAGACACGGCCCAGACUCCUACGGGAGGCAGCAGUGGGGAAUAUUGCACAAUGGGCGGAAGCCUGAUGCAGCGACGCCGCGUGAGGGAUGACGGCCUUCGGGUUGUAAACCUCUUUCAGCAGGGACGAAGCGAGAGUGACGGUACCUGCAGAAGAAGCACCGGCCAACUACGUGCCAGCAGCCGCGGUAAGACGUAGGGUGCGAGCGUUGUCCGGAUUUAUUGGGCGUAAAGAGCUCGUAGGCGGCUUGUCGCGUCGACCGUGAAAACUUGGGGCUCAACCCCAAGCCUGCGGUCGAUACGGGCAGGCUAGAGUUCGGUAGGGGAGACUGGAAUUCCUGGUGUAGCGGUGAAAUGCGCAGAUAUCAGGAGGAACACCGGUGGCGAAGGCGGGUCUCUGGGCCGAUACUGACGCUGAGGAGCG
rnacentral:rRNA from 1 species